GGGCACAGCAGGACGUUUGGGGGCCUUCUUUCAGCAGGGGACAGCCCGAUUGGGGACAAUGGCAUCUCUUGGCCACAUCUUGGUUUUCUGUGUGGGUCUCCUCACCAUGGCCAAGGCAGAAAGUCCAAAGGAACACGACCCGUUCACUUAUGACUACCAGUCCCUGCAGAUAGGAGGCCUCGUCAUCGCCGGGAUCCUCUUCAUCCUGGGCAUCCUCAUCGUGCUGAGUGAGUGCCCCUAGCCCCCGCCCUCUACCCCGCCUCUCCCUGGCCCGCCUCUCCCUAGCCCGCCCCUCCCGCCCCAACCCCUCCCAGGCCUUUGCCCCGCCUACCCUGCCUUGGCUCCCUGGCCCCCGGUCUCGCCUCUAGCCCCGCCCCGUCCCCCAAGCCCGCCCCCCGCGCGGGCGAGCUGGAGCGACAGCGCCGCUUGGUGCCCGCCAGGAGGGAGCCUCAGCCUCUCCUACCUCUCCACGCCCACAGGCAGAAGAUGCCGGUGCAAGUUCAACCAGCAGCAGAGGACUGGGGAACCCGAUGAAGAGGAGGGAACUUUCCGCAGCUCCAUCCGCCGUCUGUCCACCCGCAGGCGGUAGAAACACCUGGCGCGAUGCAAUCCGGCCAGGUGCUGCAGCUCUGACACGGCGGUGGGAGGGAAGGAGGGAGGAAGGAAAGGCGGGAGAGGGAGGGGGCCAAGUGCCAGGGUUGAAGGGCGGCGAGGGGUGGGGCUGGACGUCCCCCCUCGCCUCUCACCCUUUUCACCCUCACAGGACUCCCCUGGCACCUGACGUCUCCCACGCUCCACCUGCGCGCCCACCGCCCCCUCCGCCGCCCCUUCCCCAGCCCUGCCCCCGCAGACUCCCCCUGCAGCCCAGAAUUCCAAUAAAAC
rnacentral:sRNA from 1 species